UAAUUCCGUGCCAGCAGCCGCGGUAAUACGGAAGGUGCAAGCGUUAUCCGGUUUUAUUGGGUUUAAAGGGUGCGUAGGCGGCUUAUUAAGUCAGUUGUGAAAUCCGAGCGCUUAACGUUAGAACUGCGAUUGAUACUGAUAGGCUUGAGUCAAGAAGAGGUAGGUAGAAUUUAUGGUGUAGUAGUGAAAUGCUUAGAUAUCAUAAGGAAUACCAAUAGCGUAGGCAGCUUACUGGUCUUGAACUGACGCUGAGGCACGAAAGCGUGGGGAGCAAACAGGAUUAGAUACCCUGGUAGUCCACGCUGUAAACGAUGAUCACUCGAUAUACAUGCUUGCUCAUGUGUGUCCAAGCGAAAGCGUUAAGUGAUCCACCUGGGGAGUAUACCCGCAAGGGUGAAACUCAAAGGAAUUGACGGGGGUCCGCACAAGCGGUGGAGUAUGUUGUUUAAUUCGAUAGUACGCGAGGAACCUUACCUGGGCUAGAAUGUGUUUUGCUACUCUAAGAAAUUAGAGGUUCCUUCGGGACGGGACACAAGGUGCUGCAUGGCUGUCGUCAGCUCGUGCCGUGAGGUGUUGGGUUAAGUCCUAUAACGAGCGCAACCCUUUUACCUAAUUGCCAGCACGUAACGGUGGGGACUUUAGGUAGACUGCCCGCGCAAGCGGGAGGAAGGAGAGGAUGAGGUCAAGUCAUCAUGGCCUUUAUGCCCAGGGCUACAAACGUACUACAAUGGCGUGUACAGAGGGAAGCUACUUGGCAACAAGAUGCAAAUCUCAAAAGCACGUCUCAGUUCGGAUUGGGGUCUGCAAUUCGACCCCAUAAAGUUGGAAUCGCUAGUAAUCGCGUAUCAGCAAUGACGCGGUGAAUACGUUCUCGGACCUUGUACACACCGCCCAUCAAGCCAUGGGA
rnacentral:rRNA from 1 species